UAGACAGCCAAUGGAUCUGCUUACAUAAGUGGGUUUAUGAAAAGAUUUCAAUAAAGCUGGUAAUAAUAAUGCCAUGGUACAAGCCUGAAAUCAAAGUCAUUAAGGUCCCUGAGAAUGGCUACAACA
ensembl:snoRNA